AUUGAACGCUGGCGGCAUGCUUUACACAUGCAAGUCGAACGGCAGCGCGGGCUUCGGCCUGGCGGCGAGUGGCGCACGGGUGAGUAAUGCAUCGGAACGUGCCCAGUAGUGGGGGAUAGCCCGGCGAAAGCCGGAUUAAUACCGCAUACGACCUGAGGGUGAAAGCGGGGGACCGAAAGGCCUCGCGCUAUUGUAGCGGCCGAUGUCGUAUUAGCUAGUUGGUUGGGUAAAGGCUUACCAAGGCGACGAUCCGUAGCUGGUCUGUGAGGACGAACAGCCACACUGGGACUGAGACACGGCCCAGACUCCUACGGGAGGCAGCAGUGGGGAAUUUUGGACAAUGGGGGCAACCCUGAUCCAGCCAUGCCGCGUGCGGGAAGAAGGCCUUCGAGUUGUAAAGCGCUUUUGUUCGGGAAGAAAUCCUCUGGGCUAAUACCCCGGGGGGAUGACGGUACCGGAAGAAUAAGCACCGGCUAACUACGUG
rnacentral:rRNA from 1 species